rnacentral:rRNA from 1 species
UACGGAGGGUGCAAGCGUUAUCCGGAUUCACUGGGUUUAAAGGGUGCGUAGGCGGGUAGGUAAGUCAGUGGUGAAAUCUUCGAGCUUAACUCGGAAACUGCCUUUGAUACUAUCUAUCUUGAAUAUUGUGGAGGUAAGCGGAAUAUGUCAUGUAGCGGUGAAAUGCUUAGAUAUGACAUAGAACACCUAUUGCGAAGGCAGCUUACUACGCAUAUAUUGACGCUGGGGCACGAAAGCGUGGGGAUCAAACAGG